rnacentral:snoRNA from 1 species
AAUCUGUGGUGCGGGCAUUUUGAAUCAACAUUUCAAAGCGUCCUAUACCUUAUAGAAGCUUUCCCCUUCCUUCUGUCUAAAGAAAGCAAGCUCUCUUCUUAAUU